rnacentral:lncRNA from 1 species
UAAAUUCUGAGACUCAUGCUCUUGUCACAGAGAACAGGGGCAGAAGCAAUUUUAGAAGAUCUCACAAAGGAGAUACAAGUCGCAGCAAAAGCAAAAACUACAGGAGCAAGUCAAAGACCAGACAAGGUGAAACAUAUAAAUGUUUCCAUUGCAAUAAGGAAGGUCAUUUCAGGAGAAAUUGCAGAAUCUGGUUAGACAAGCAGAAAAAUGGUGAGCAGGGAAAGGUUGAGGAAAAGAACACUGCAGCCACAGUCACCGAAGAUGUUGUGAUUC